GGUGUAGGAGUUUUGCAUGAAGAGGUAGAGAGUAGAAUGCAGCCAAGGAUGACUUGCCGGCAUUUCCUCCCAGCUAGCUAGCAAGCCUUCUAUUUGGCAUGCCUGGCCGGCAGGAUGUCCUUGGCUAUAUUUUGUUCUCUUCUUCUCAUGUGAGACUCCAGGCC
rnacentral:pre_miRNA from 1 species